GCUCCAAUAGCGUAUAUUAAAGUUGUUGCAGUUAAAAAGCUCGUAGUUGGAUUUCUGGUCUCUUUUGUGAUGGUCCGCCGUGAGGUGAGCACUGUUGCUGGGGAUCUUCUUCUUGAAGGGGUGUGGUGUUCUUAACUGAGUGCUGCAUUUAUUCAAGACCUUUACUUUGAAAAAAUUAGAGUGUUCAAGCAGGCGUUGCU
rnacentral:rRNA from 1 species